rnacentral:rRNA from 1 species
AUUGAACGCUGGCGGAAUGCUUUACGCAUGCAAGUCGAACGGCAGCACGGGGGCAACCCUGGUGGCGAGUGGCGAACGGGUGAGUAAUACAUCGGAACGUGCCCGGUCGUGGGGGAUAACGUAGCGAAAGUUACGCUAAUACCGCAUACGAUCUGAGGAUGAAAGCGGGGGACCUUCGGGCCUCGCGCGAUCGGAGCGGCCGAUGUCAGAUUAGGUAGUUGGUGGGGUAAAGGCCUACCAAGCCGACGAUCUGUAGCUGGUCUGAGAGGACGACCAGCCACACUGGGACUGAGACACGGCCCAGACUCCUACGGGAGGCAGCAGUGGGGAAUUUUGGACAAUGGGCGCAAGCCUGAUCCAGCCAUUCCGCGUGCAGGACGAAGGCCUUCGGGUUGUAAACUGCUUUUGUAUGGAACGAAAAGGCUCUGGCUAAUACCUGGGGCUCAUGACGGUACCGUAAGAAUAAGCACCGGCUAACUACGUG